CUUUAGCCCCGAUUGCAGUGGAAAUCUCCCGAUUUAGAAAAACAAGGCUUUUUUGCCGUAGUUUUUUCUUGAUCGGGAAUUGCAACGGAAAGCGGGAACGAUC
rnacentral:sRNA from 1 species